rnacentral:rRNA from 1 species
CAGCAGCCGCGGUAAUACGGAGGGAGCUAGCGUUGUUCGGAAUUACUGGGCGUAAAGCGCACGUAGGCGGUUAUUCAAGUCAGAGGUGAAAGCCCGGGGCUCAACCCCGGAACUGCCUUUGAAACUAGAUGACUAGAAUCUUGGAGAGGUCAGUGGAAUUCCGAGUGUAGAGGUGAAAUUCGUAGAUAUUCGGAAGAACACCAGUGGCGAAGGCGACUGACUGGACAAGUAUUGACGCUGAGGUGCGAAAGCGUGGGGAGCAAACAGGAUUAGAUACCCCCGUAGUCCCUGUCUCUUAUAC